rnacentral:rRNA from 1 species
GACGAACGCUGGCGGCGUGCCUAAUACAUGCAAGUAGAACGCUGAAGGAGGAGCUUGCUUCUCUGGAUGAGUUGCGAACGGGUGAGUAACGCGUAGGUAACCUGCCUGGUAGCGGGGGAUAACUAUUGGAAACGAUAGCUAAUACCGCAUAAGAGUAGAUGUUGCAUGACAUUUGCUUAAAAGGUGCAAUUGCAUCACUACCAGAUGGACCUGCGUUGUAUUAGCUAGUUGGUGGGGUAACGGCUUACCAAGGCGACGAUACAUAGCCGACCUGAGAGGGUGAUCAGCCACACUGGGACUGAGACACGGCCCAGACUCCUACGGGAGGCAGCAGUAGGGAAUCUUCGGCAAUGGACGGAAGUCUGACCGAGCAACGCCGCGUGAGUGAAGAAGGUUUUCGGAUCGUAAAGCUCUGUUGUAAGAGAAGAACGAGUGUGAGAGUGGAAAGUUCACACUGUGACGGUAUCUUACCAGAAAGGGACGGCUAACUACGUG